CUAAAAUAUUGAUGGGACACCUAAUUAAACAAGCGAAAUGAAAACAUAUAGGCAGAACAUAUCACUUGAUGGCUGGAGGUAGAUGGUCUUAUCUUUGAAAAGUUUGCACAACACGACACCAUCAAGACUUCGACCUGCCUCCAAAACUGGCUUGACCAAGUUGGUGUAGGUUGCCAUCAUUAUUGUGACCCUUGGUUUGUUUUGAAAUAGGGUCCUCAGGUGUUGUAGAAUCUCCUGUGCAGUCCACUCCUUCUGAAACUGCACAGCAGACACUAUACAUCCAUGCUCUGCCAGGAAUGUUUUUCUAAUGGACCUUGGAACCUUGCAGUCUCUGGGAGAUGUAAGCAGGCAAACAUCUCGAAGAAAGGGGACAUGUUCAGAUGUCCUUUUCCUUUUUCCAUGCCUUAGUUAACAAUUAAUGAGGUAAUGAGCAUUAAUGAAGUAAUGUUACUCUAAUAUACUCUGUAUAUUUCACCAUAAAACGUUACAUAUGUCUAAAAUGUAAAAAA